AUGGCCUCGAUACCUCAUCCGAGGCAUUUCGUGGCCAUUGUUGACAUGAUAUUAGGCUUUCUCCGCGCCUGUCAACCCAUCCAGUUCGUCCUGGCCGGUCUCCUGGCUGCCGGCGUGGCCACCAUACAGCUGAUGAAGCGCCGCCGUACCGUAUACCUCAUCGACUAUGCUUGCUCCCAGGGUAUUGGCAGCUGUCGUGUGCCAAAAGCCACGUUCAUCGAGCAUAUUCACCUCAACCCAUUGUUCGAUGACCACAGCGUCUCCUUCAUGACGCGCAUGCUGGAAAGCAGCGCCAUCGGCGAGGAGACCAGACUGCCGCCCGGAGACUCUUAUAUGCCGGCACAGAAUAGCUUCCAGGAGGCCGGCGCCGAGGCGGAGCUGGUCGUCUUCUCGGCCAUCGACGACCUAUUCGCCAACAGGAUGGUCACCGCAGACGCCAUCGACAUACUAGUAGUAAACUGCAGCGUCUUCGCCCCAGUGCCGUCCAUCACCGACAUGAUCGUGAAUAGAUACAAGCUCCGUGAUGACGUCCGCGCCGUAAACCUUUCCGGUAUGGGAUGCAGCGCCGGCGUGAUCUCGGUGGGUCUCGCGGCCGGCAUGCUGCAAGCAACGGGCCACGGCGCGACGCAGCACGCUCUGGUCGUCUCCACGGAGAUCAUCACUUCUAACUUCUACACCGGCAAGGAGAGGCCCAUGCAGCUCUCCAACAUCCUGUUCCGGGUCGGCGGCGCGGCCGUGCUGCUGUCCACAUCGGAGGACAGGGCGCGGUUCCGCCUCUCGCACCUCGUCCGGACGAGCACCACGGGCACGCACGACGGCUCCUACUCGUGUGUCUUCCAGGAAGAGGACGGCGAGGGCAACUUAGGUGUCAACCUGUCCAAGGAUCUCCUGGCCGUCGCCGGCAACGCUCUCAAAGCCAACAUCACAGCCGUCGCGCCCCUCGUCCUCCCUCUCUCCGAGCAGCUGACCUUCGCCCUGUCCUUUGUGGCCAGAAAGCUGGGGCUGACCGUGAAGCCGCACGUCCCCGGCUUCCGCAAGGCGUUCGACCACUUCUGUGUGCACUGCGGCGGGCGCGCGGUUAUCGACAAGGUGCAGAGCAGCCUAGGGCUGUCAGACGAGCAAGUGGAGGCGUCCCGCAUGACACUUCACCGGUUCGGGAACACGUCGAGCAGCACGGUGUGGUAUGAGCUGGCGUACAUCGAAGCGAAGGGCCGGAUGCGGAAGAACGACAAGGUAUGGAUGAUUGGGUUUGGAUCCGGGUUCAAGUGCAACAGUGCCGUCUGGGAGUGCAUCCGACCGGCGGACCAGCCGGACAGAGCAUGGGCCGGGUGCAUACAUCGAUACCCGUCUGCACUCCCCUAA
rnacentral:rRNA from 1 species